rnacentral:rRNA from 1 species
ACGAACGCUGGCGGCAUGCCUCACACAUGCAAGUCGAACGAGACCUUCGGGUCUAGUGGCGCACGGGUGCGUAACGCGUGGGAACCUGCCUUUAGGUUCGGAAUAACUCAGAGAAAUUUGAGCUAAUACCGGAUGAUGUCUUCGGACCAAAGAUUUAUCGCCUUUAGAUGGGCCCGCGUUGGAUUAGCUAGUUGGUGGGGUAAAGGCCUACCAAGGCGACGAUCCAUAGCUGGUCUGAGAGGAUGAUCAGCCACACUGGGACUGAGACACGGCCCAGACUCCUACGGGAGGCAGCAGUGGGGAAUAUUGGACAAUGGGCGAAAGCCUGAUCCAGCAAUGCCGCGUGAGUGAUGAAGGCCUUAGGGUUGUAAAGCUCUUUUACCCGAGAUGAUAAUGACAGUAUCGGGAGAAUAAGCUCCGGCUAACUCCGUG